rnacentral:rRNA from 1 species
AAUAGAUACCCCGGUAGUCCACGCCGUAAACGAUGAGUGCUAAGUGUUAGGGGGUUUCCGCCCCUUAGUGCUGCAGCUAACGCAUUAAGCACUCCGCCUGGGGAGUACGGUCGCAAGACUGAAACUCAAAGGAAUUGACGGGGGCCCGCACAAGCGGUGGAGCAUGUGGUUUAAUUCGAAGCAACGCGAAGAACCUUACCAGGUCUUGACAUCCCACUGACCGCUAUGGAGACAUAGUUUUCCCUUCGGGGACAGUGGUGACAGGUGGUGCAUGGUUGUCGUCAGCUCGUGUCGUGAGAUGUUGGGUUAAGUCCCGCAACGAGCGCAACCCUUGAUCUUAGUUGCCAUCAUUUAGUUGGGCACUCUAAGGUGACUGCCGGUGACAAACCGGAGGAAGGUGGGGAUGACGUCAAAUCAUCAUGCCCCUUAUGACCUGGGCUACACACGUGCUACAAUGGAUGGUACAAAGGGCUGCAAGACUGCGAAGUCAAGCCAAUCCCAUAAAACCAUUCUCAGUUCGGAUUGCAGG